rnacentral:rRNA from 1 species
GACAGAGGGUGCAAACGUUGUUCGGAAUUACUGGGCAUAAAGCGCACGUAGGUGGUCCGCUAAGUCGCGUGUGAAAUCCCCCGGCUCAACCGGGGAAUUGCGCGCGAUACUGGCGGGCUAGAGAUCGGGAGGGGUGAGUGGAACUCCAGGUGGAGCGGUGAAAUGCGUAGAUAUCUGGAGGAACACCGGUGGCGAAAGCGACUCACUGGCCCGAUACUGACACUGAGGUGCGAAAGCUAGGGUAGCAAACGGGAUUAGAAACCCCUGUAGUCC